rnacentral:lncRNA from 1 species
UAGUUUUUGGGUUGCUCGUGAGAUUUCAGUAUCUGAGUAUUGUCAACAUAUCUGGAGAGUGUCGGGACAAGUCGGAAUCGUUUUGGUGCGAAAUAGGCGCAAAACGGACUCAGUGCGACGCGAGAGCAGAGUUUUAAUAUUGAACUACAAAGUGCAGGUUUUCAGUGUUGAGUACCGGUACCCCAGUGUAAUUCCAAACAGACUGCUCUCGGGUUGCGCCAAUUUGAUGCUAAGUACCGGUACGGUAUCAGGAUGGUACCGGUACCCUGUGUGCGAGCUUGCGGGUUAAGCGGCCAUUAAUUUGAGUUGGUAGAGGAUAUUGUAGUCUUUAUUGAGUUGGUGAGGGGUAUUAUAGUCAUUAUGUUGGAUAAGAUUGCCA